rnacentral:rRNA from 1 species
AUUGAACGCUGGCGGCAUGCCUUACACAUGCAAGUCGAACGGCAGCACGGGAGCAAUCCUGGUGGCGAGUGGCGAACGGGUGAGUAAUAUAUCGGAACGUGCCCAGUCGUGGGGAUAACGUAGCGAAAGCUACGCUAAUACCGCAUACGAUCUAUGGAUGAAAGCGGGGGAUCGCAAGACCUCGCGCGAUUGGAGCGGCCGAUAUCAGAUUAGGUAGUUGGUGAGGUAAAGGCUCACCAAGCCGACGAUCUGUAGCUGGUCUGAGAGGACGACCAGCCACACUGGGACUGAGACACGGCCCAGACUCCUACGGGAGGCAGCAGUGGGGAAUUUUUGGACAAUGGGCGCAAGCCUGAUCCAGCAAUGCCGCGUGCAGGGAUGAAGGCCUUCGGGUUG